rnacentral:miRNA from 1 species
UUAGGUUGGUGCAAAACUAAUUGUGGUUUUUGCCAUUGAAAGUAAUUGCAAACACCGUGAUUGCUUUUGUACCAACCUA